UGCAGUCGAACGGUAACAGGAAGCAGCUUGCUGCUUUGCUGACGAGUGGCGGACGGGUGAGUAAUGUCUGGGAAACUGCCUGAUGGAGGGGGAUAACUACUGGAAACGGUAGCUAAUACCGCAUAACGUCGCAAGACCAAAGAGGGGGACCUUCGGGCCUCUUGCCAUCAGAUGUGCCCAGAUGGGAUUAGCUAGUAGGUGGGGUAACGGCUCACCUAGGCGACGAUCCCUAGCUGGUCUGAGAGGAUGACCAGCCACACUGGAACUGAGACACGGUCCAGACUCCUACGGGAGGCAGCAGUGGGGAAUAUUGCACAAUGGGCGCAAGCCUGAUGCAGCCAUGCCGCGUGUAUGAAGAAGGCCUUCGGGUUGUAAAGUACUUUCAGCGGGGAGGAAGGCGAUGUGGUUAAUAACCGCGUCGAUUGACGUUACCCGCAGAAGAAGCACCGGCUAACUCCGUGCCAGCAGCCGCGGUAAUACGGAGGGUGCAAGCGUUAAUCGGAAUUACUGGGCGUAAAGCGCACGCAGGCGGUCUGUCAAGUCGGAUGUGAAAUCCCCGGGCUCAACCUGGGAACUGCAUCCGAAACUGGCAGGCUUGAGUCUCGUAGAGGGGGGUAGAAUUCCAGGUGUAGCGGUGAAAUGCGUAGAGAUCUGGAGGAAUACCGGUGGCGAAGGCGGCCCCCUGGACGAAGACUGACGCUCAGGUGCGAAAGCGUGGGGAGCAAACAGGAUUAG
rnacentral:rRNA from 1 species